rnacentral:rRNA from 1 species
AGUGAACGCUGGCGGUAGGCCUAACACAUGCAAGUCGAACGGCAGCACAGUAAGAGCUUGCUCUUACGGGUGGCGAGUGGCGGACGGGUGAGGAAUACAUCGGAAUCUACUUUUUCGUGGGGGAUAACGUAGGGAAACUUACGCUAAUACCGCAUACGACCUACGGGUGAAAGCAGGGGAUCUUCGGACCUUGCGCGAUUGAAUGAGCCGAUGUCGGAUUAGCUAGUUAGCGGGGUAAAGGCCCACCAAGGCGACGAUCCGUAGCUGGUCUGAGAGGAUGAUCAGCCACACUGGAACUGAGACACGGUCCAGACUCCUACGGGAGGCAGCAGUGGGGAAUAUUGGACAAUGGGCGCAAGCCUGAUCCAGCCAUACCACGUGGGUGAAGAAGGCCUUCGGGUUGUAAAGCCCUUUUGUUGGGAAAGAAAAGCAGCAGGUUAAUACCCCGCUGUUCUGACGGUACCCAAAGAAUAAGCACCGGCUAACUUCGUG